AUAACCUGGGGUAGAAGCCAACAUUUAACACGUGUGAGAGACCAUUAAUUACAAUUCAUCAGUUGGUUAUCCAUAAAAGGCAGAAGAUGAGUCAGUCUGCAUGGGACCAGUAAAGAAUAGAUCGGGUGACAGAGAAAGGAAGUUCCAUCCUGAGUACAGGAAGGCUGCAGCUCAUUAAGGAGCAAGUUGGAGCCAUCAUGUGAUUCACCGUCUGUCACAACAACCAUUACUUUUGUGGCUUCUGGACGUCCUCCCGAUUCAGGUGAGAAGGCAUAUUGUCUGUUAUAAAACAUACAUGUCAGUCUAUAAUGGAUGGAAUCCAGUACAUAUCCUGUAAUGAAUAUGUCCAUCACUGGUUUAGAACAAGGUGCUUCUGUAGUGGAUUUUUCUUUGUGAAUUAACAAUCUCCAAUAAGAAUUUUCAGUUAUGCUCCUGAUAACUUCUUCACAAACCACUGCUCAAAGAGCCCUAAGAAAUGUACAAAGGAUUAGAAGAUAAAAAUAGUAGGACUGGAAGAACUGGAUAGUAAUUCUGAUAGAAAUGUAAAUUCCCUGAAAACCAAAUUUUUUUUUGUACAAAUAUUUCUAAACGAAAAGUGGGUUUUGUUAGAACUACUUAAGUUUUAUGACACCAGAAACUGGCAUCACCAAGUUCAGAAAAAAGUGGAGGAGAAUUAAUUAUAGGCUCCACAAUACUACUGCAAAUAUUUACUCCAUUGAUGGCUGAGUCUGCUCUUAAAAAAAAAUUUUCAAGGCCAUUUGAUUCAACAUGCAUUUUGGUCUAGAGUUCUGUCCUUGAUUCAGCUUAAAAACAGCAUCUUCCUGUUGAGAAACAGACCUGGUUUGUAUACGUAUUCAGAGUCAUAGAAUAUUGUUUUAAGCUUUUCCUACUUUUCAUGCUGCUGGUGCUGCACUGACAAACUGACAACAGAGGUUUUAUUUUCUCUGCAAUCAACCAAAGCCUGACCUACAAACACCAAUCUCACAGGCCCAACUGAAACCCUGGAUAAACUUUUAUUUCUUUCAAUGGUUUUGAAUCUUUCCUAAAACCUUGUCCACUGUGUUUGAUGCACUGUCAUGUUUAAACACGUGUGACAGAAAAAGCAACUCUGUUGGGUACCAGAAUUACGUUAGUGUAAUGUUUAACCCAAUGUUUAACAACAUGCUUUUCAGCAAGUCUAGUUUACAUAUGCCUGUACCAUUCUGCAAUGGCCAGGAUUCUGCCUGCCACUGGGAACCUACUCAGAGGCCCUGAGCAAAUUGUCUCCUGGUGGGAAUGAAAUUCAGGAUGUUCUCCUUGCUGUUUAAGGUCUCACACAGGCAACACUUCAGAUCUGAAGGCUUUGCCAGAAUGAGGACUCAGAAGAAGUGUAUGCAGGUUUGCAGCCUGGACUGGUGCAAUGCCUCUGAAUACAGAGGAGCAAGACCAUAUUCAUAUCCACAUUGGGUCAUGAUUUUUCAGUCCUUAUGUAUCUAUCACAGGACUUUGCUUUUGGCACAUACAUUUUUUAAGAAAUCAAAAUGAACCGUCCCCAACACAACGUAGACCUUAACUUAAUUUGAUAUGGGUUUUUGGUUGGGGUUUUUUUUGUUGGUUUCUUGGUGUUUUCUCGUUUGUUUGGGUUUUUUAAAUUUUAUUUUUUUGUUUUGUUUUGUUUUAAUUGAUUCCGUUUUGCACACGUUGCCUUACUUUGAACAGCAGGAGAAAAGCUUCUUAGGAUCUGGAAACUUGGACUGAUUUCAGAACAAACUCCUGUUGCAUAGUAUUGUCUUCCACACUGCUGUGCCCACAAGGGACCACAAGUCUUAAAAAUAACAACAACAACAAAAAAAAGAAACUAUAAAAAUAACAAAGUAUUUGUCUCACCGUAUCUACAUACAAACUCACAACAAGCAGGACUACAGGCAUACAGGUACAAACCCACAACAAGGAGGACUAGAAGCAUAUAGGAUUAGGGGAGCCCUCUUGGGUUACCAGGCCGAAUCCCUUCAGUCAGUGUAGCCGCUUUCACAGGCUUUCUCACGGGGAGGAUUUCCUACCCGGGAUGACCCCAAUCCCGCAGGCUGGGCGCAGUUUUCCUUCUCCCUCGCUGCCAGCCCCGGCUCUCCUGCCGACCAGGCCGCGCUGCAGCGCCGCCCGUGGCCGCCAGGUGGCGGCAGCGCCCCGGGCACGGGGCUGGUGGUGACACCGACAGCGCGGCCGAGAGAGCUCGGCCCUCACGGGUGCGCCUUAGGGGAGCCGCGUUCCUGAGGGAAACUCGCUUUGCCAAAGUAUUUACCAGUUAAACUACAUCAUCUCCAGUGGGACUGCAGCCUCACAGUGAGCACUGCCCCCUCUUCUGCCACACUAAAAGAAAUAGUUUGACCCCGGCCUCUCACGCCCCUUGGCUACAUGUUUCAUUGCCUUUCGUGGACAAUAAUCCCGCUUUCCUGAUGAAAACCAUCUCUGUAACAAGAACUGAGCUGGCCGCAUGAAAACCACAGCUCUGAUAUCAGAAGAGUAGGUACGAAAGCACCUGGACAAAAAAAAUAUUAAGACAGUAUUUUGUCAUGAGGAUGGGGAGGGAGCUGUAUAUGGGUAUGGGGGGGUAUAUUUCCUUCUAAAAGAAAAUAAUAUUAGGAACCCAGGAAAAAAAAAAAACAACACACAAAACCAAACACCUCUACAUAAGCUCUGUCCAACAGUUCUGUAAGAAAUGAUAGCUUCUUUACAUAUACUCUCUGGUUGCCCUAGUCAGGAGAGUCUGGUAAACAGAGGAUGUACCACCUCUAUUUAGGAAGAGAAGAGAAGGAUAACAGCAGUAUCACCCUUUUCUCGAGAAUAUUGCAGGGGAGGGGGAGUGGGAGUGGAAGGUAAGGUAAUUAAGGUCAAAAGUAAAUAGAAAAUAUAGUCAGACUACACUAUCCUAUGUAUGACUAGCCUGUUACACAUCCCACUAUCCCAAGAUAUUUGACCAGACAGCAGAUUUUCUGGACGAGAGAAAGGAAGUGUAUCUACAUUAUCAGAUCUUGCGUUAAGUGCUCUUUUUAGCUGCCACAUGAGGCAUGAUUAGUUUUUACUGGGAAAGACAGAUUUUUGAGAGGUAAAAGGUACAAAAUAAAUCAUCUGUAUUGGUAACUACAAAGCUGGAGGAGAGCUACUGGCCUUUAAAUUUCUUUUGAGAUCAAUCUCAUUUGCCCAUUUUCUAAUUUUCUUCUGUACUGGUGGUAAGUCAGAACUGUGAUGUCACUAUUGGAAGAAAAAGCAAAAAUGUUCUAAUAAUCUUUGCUGAUCUUCACUUAAAAUGGGAAAAACUAAUGUUCUAGCAUCGUUACAGUCAGAAAUUUAAGAUGUAUCAUUAACGCAGGAGAAAACUGUGAGACUGCAUAUCAAGGACUGAUGAACUUGAAAGGUGGAAUAUUAGAAAGGGGCAUAGACUUGCCCUUCAGGACUUACGUUAAGAAAUAUGGACAUAAACUGGAAGGUCAUCGAAUGGAAGAGAAGCAGACAGUGGCUGAUUUGGAGGGUUGACCAUAUGCACAGAGCCAGCAUGCAAAGCAAAUAUGCCUUAAUGAUGUGUGACAAGAAGCGCUUGCUGUUGAGCUGGGGAAAUACCGAAUACACUAUAUAAUGCCCUGGAAAGACUCAUGUGGAAUACAGAUUAGAUCUGGUCACUCCUGUUUGAGAGAAGUUUAUCUUAAAAAGCACAUUUCAGCCAAAAAACCUCUAUGUUUGUUUAACAAAGCAAGGACAAAGGAGAGCGACUGUGAGGUGUCAAAUACAGAAGGGAGAUUUUACAUGCAAGUAGAUGGGAGCUGUUUCUUUCAACUAAGGUGCAGCACUGCCCCAAAAACAAACAGACAGAAACUUAAAUGAGAACUCCAAAAAAACGUUGUUAACCGUCAGUGAAAUUCUUAAGCAUGCCUCCAACAGGACCAAGCAUGCCUCAGAAAAAUGUAAUGAGCGUGUGGGAAAUGACUGCCCUGUACUUAGGAUACCUGUGGGAAGCAUUCACAUGGCAUCAAGCAGAUGAACCAGCUACAGCACAGACUCUACAGGCUGCGUCAUGCCCCAGGCAAGCAGCCCAGGGCCUGGGCAAGCAGCAAGUGGAUGGAGGCUGAGAGGGGAGCAGCCACAGGAGGAAGGAGAACAGUGAGCUGGGAGGAGGAAGCCCUAAGCACAGCCCAAAGAGCCCAUCACAAAGGCCAGCUGCCACAGACAGAGUCCCAGAGCAAAGUCCUGGCUGGCAGCAGUGUGCAAGUAUGAGCGGGCAUUCUACCCAUGUAGCCCAAUACUUGCCACAAUUGUGGGCUUCUGAUACAUGUUGAGGCUGAGUCACAGAUAACCACCUGUCCUCAGUAUCCCAUUCUCCAUAUGUCAAAAAGAACUCCUGUUGCCAAAGACAUGGCUGUUCAUGUCUUACCAGUCAAUCUUUUUUUUCAUUUUUCCUUCAUGCAAUUUAAGGACGGUCCAUCAGUAACACAUAGAUCAGGAAAUUCUUUUUGACUGAGAGAAGUUCAAAUAUUAUUAGAAAAUAGAACCUUUCCUACAUGAGACAUUUUAAAACACUGCAGUUACUGAUACUGAUUAAAAGUGGGUAUUCAUGGGACAUCAUUAACGGUAAUUAAAAGUAUUAUUCAAGACACAGAAUAAGAUUUUUUUUAAAUCAGUACCUUCUCAAACCAAUAAUCAAGAAAAGCACUCUUGCUGUAUUUUGAAGAUAUGAAUAACUUUACUAACUGCAAGGGCAUUGGAAUUAGGCCUACUUUUAAGUACUUCAGUGAACUGGACUAUGUGUUAAUGAAUAUAAUAAAUAUUUGAAUACUUUUGUGAUUACUAGGAAGAUACAACUGAAAAAUACAAAGCUUAAAGAGAGCCUCCAAGCUCUUUUACCUGUAAUUUAUUGUUCCACUUAUUUACUGCACAUGGCUACAAUGUACACAUCAAACUCAAAUAAACCUAUACAGCAACAGUUUUCAUGCUUAUGAUUAAGAUUAUAAAAAAAGCAUAUUAAACAGGCAUUCACUUCCUUUCAAUUAAGAAAUCUGUUUCACAGGCUCCAAGGACAGUUGUUUGCAGCAUAUACACACAGAAAAUGCAUCCCCCUCCAGCUCACUAACUAAAUGAAACACUUCUUAAAUCCAUGGGACUAGAAAACCUAACACCUCAGGAGGACAGUCCCUGUGCAAGUGCAUAUGGUGGAGGAGAGAUCACAUACAGUCUUUUGAAACACAAUCAGAACUAUGAAAGAUUCCCUUAAAGAAUAUAAUGAUGGAAAUAUUCCUGCCUAUAUCGUCCAAUUUAAAUUACUGAGUCUUUAAUUAUAAGCCCUUCCACAGGAUGUUCAGAUAAAUGACACAGGAGAGAUUUCACAAUUUUCCUGAUUUUGGACCCUAGGUAAUGACAGCAGUAUGGAAUAUUUUAAAAUAUGCAAAAGAUGUACUAAUCUAUGGUAUAUAAUAAAAUAUAUUUAGCUUGGACUUAUAAAAAA